ACUAUAAAGCUAGCUUCACUCACACCAACAUCAUCCAAAUAUUAAACUGAAAUUAACCAAAUCAUUUACCCUCCUCCCAAGUAUAGGUGAUAGAAAAGAAUAUUAGAAGCAAUAGAAAAAGUACCGCAAGGGAAGGCUGAAAAAGAAAUUAAAUAAUUCAUUAAAGUAUAAAAAAGCAGGAAUUAAAACCCGUACCUUUUGCAUCAUGGUCUAGCAAGACUAACAUAAGCAAAUAAACCUAGAGCUUAUUACCCCGAAAUUAGACGAGCUAUUCUAAAACAGCUUUUAAUUUAGAGCGAACCCGUCUCUGUAGCAAAAGAGUGGGAAGAUUUUUUAAUAGUGGUGAAAUGCCUAACGAGUCUAAUAAUAGCUGGUUGCUCAAUAAACAAGUACAAGCUUAGCCUUAAAUUUUAUUUAAAUCAUCUACAAUUAAAAUAAAAACUUAAGAGUUACUCAAAGAGGGUACAGCCCCUUUGAAAAAGAAGACAAUCUACAAAAAUGGGUAAUGCUCACAAUUAAUAAAAUUACAUACAAACGUUGACCCAAAAGCAGCCAUCAUCAAAGAACGCGUCAAAGCCCAUGUAAUACAAACAUUAAGAUCCCGACAUAAAAACAAAACCCAUAUUUAACAUUGAGCCUAUUUAUAACCAUAUAAUUAAGUUAAUGCUAGAACUAGUAAUAAGAAUUAGAAAUUCUCUACCGCAUAAGUGUAAGUCAAUAUAACAACUACUGACAUUCACCGAUAAGUAAAAUAAAAAUUAAACAAGGACACUUUACUCUAACUUAUCGUUAAUCCAACACAGGAGCGCGUACAGAAAGACAUAAAGAUAGAGAAGGAAUUCAGCAAACAUUAAGCUCCGCCUGUUUACCAAAAACAUCACCUCUAGCAAUCAAAACAUAUAUUAGAGGCAUCGCCUGCCCAGUGAUAUAUCAUUAAACGGCCGCGGUACCCUGACCGUGCUAAGGUAGCAUAAUCACUUGUCUUUUAAAUAAAGACUAGAAUGAACGGCCAAACGAGAACUUAACUGUCUCCUCUAUCUAGUCAACGAAACUGAUCUAUCAGUACAAAAGCUGAUAUAUAAUUAUAAGACGAGAAGACCCUAUGAAGCUUUAAACCACGCAAACAACUGUUAUUUACAAAAAUUUACAAUUAUGAUUAUGCUGCUUUUGGUUGGGGCGACCACGGAGAAAAUAAAACCUCCGAGACUACUAAAUCUAGACUGACAUGUCAAACAAUAAAAAUUUUACAACUUGACCCAAUUUAUUGACUAACGAAAUAAGUUACUCUAGGGAUAACAGCGCAAUCUUCUUCAAGAGCCCCUAUCGACAAGAAGGUUUACGACCUCGAUGUUGGAUCAGGAUAUCCUAACAGUGCAACCGCCGUUGAAGGUUUGUUUGUUCAACAAUUAAAAUCCUACGUGAUCUGAGUUCAGACCGGAGUAAUCCAGGUCAGUUUCUAUCUAUAUAAAUUUUUUUUCCAGUACGAAAGGACCGAAAAGACAAGGCCAAUAUUAUUAACACGCCCUUAAAUAAAACUAUGAACACAUCUAAAUUACUAAUUAAAAUACACCUCAAAAUAAGAGACUA
rnacentral:rRNA from 1 species